GAUGUUGGAAAGCGGUAAUUGUUGUGUAUAUAGUUUUAGGUAAGAGUUGUAAGAAUAUAUAUAUAUCAUUAUUAAGAUUAAGAUUAUACAUGCUGCUGAUAGUAAGUCAAUUGCUAUGCAGUUUGUGUGUUUUAAGUUAUGUAGGAUUGUGUGUAUUGGUUUUAUUGUGAAAACUAAUAAAUUAUUAUUUGAAUGAGAGCAAAAAGCAUUUCAUGUUUGCAAAAAAAAAAAAAAAAAAAAAAAAAAACUAUAUGCAUAAUAUAA
rnacentral:lncRNA from 1 species